AUUGAACGCUGGCGGCGUGCUUAACACAUGCAAGUCGAUCGGUAACAGGUGUAGCAAUACAUGCUGACGAGAGGCGGACGGGUGAGGAAUAUUUGGGAAUCUGCCCAUCAGCGGGGGACAACCCGGGGAAACCCGGGCUAAUACCGCAUACGCUCUACGGAGGAAAGCCGGGGACCGCAAGGCCUGGCCCUGAGGGAUGAGCCCAAAUCGGAUUAGCUAGUUGGCAGGGUAACGGCCCACCAAGGCGACGAUCCGUAGCUGGUCUGAGAGGACGAUCAGCCACACCGGAACUGAGACACGGUCCAGACUCCUACGGGAGGCAGCAGUGGGGAAUAUUGGACAAUGGGGGAAACCCUGAUCCAGCGACGCCGCGUGGGUGAAGAAGGCCUGCGGGUUGUAAAGCCCUUUCGGUAGGGACGAAAGCUCCUGCUCUAAUAAUGCAGGAGGUUGACUUAACCUACAUAAGAAGCACCGGCUAACUCUGUGCCAGCAGCCGCAGUAAAAC
rnacentral:rRNA from 1 species